rnacentral:rRNA from 1 species
GCAUAUCAAUAAGCGGAGGAAAAGAAACUAACAAGGAUUCCCCUAGUAACGGCGAGUGAAGAGGGAAAAGCCCAAAUUUGUAAUCUGGCUCUUUCUACAAGGGUCCGAGUUGUAAUUUUGAGAACUGUUAUCUGUGCUGGGCCAUCUAUAAGUCUGCUGAAAGGCAGCAUCAUUGAGGGUGAGAAUCCCGUUCAUGAGAUGUGCAUUUUACCAGUGCUCUAUGAUGCAGUUUCUAAGAGUCGAGUUGUUUGGGAAUGCAGCUCAAAGUGGGUGGUAAAUUCCAUCUAAGGCUAAAUAUAGGUGAGAGACCGAUAGCAUACAAGUACCGUGAGGGAAAGAUGAAAAGAACUUUGGAAAGAGAGUUAACAGUACGUGAAAUUGCUGAAAGGGAAACGCUUGAAGUUAGCCUUGUUAUUGUCAGUUCAGCUCUUUUAGGGUGUAUUCUGACUAUUAACAGACCAACAUCAAUCUUUUGAGUGCAGGAUAAGGGUUUUGGGAAUGUUGCAGUUUUUUAACUGUGUUAUAGACCAUUACUUUGAUACUGUGCUUGGGAUUGAGAGAUUUGCGGUGAGCCAUUUUUUGGUGGAGUUUCCUCUGGAAGUUCUUCUUGCCAAUGAUGUUGGUGUAAUAGCUUCAAACGACCCGUCUUGAAACACGGACC